GGACCGUGGGGUCCCUCUUCGCCUGAGGGCAGCGGGCUCAUCGGUUGCCGGCGGCCGCGGGGACACGUCGAGAGCUGUGUCAGCGCCUCCCCGAGGCCGAGGGUUAUCAUUAUCAUAAAAAAAUAAAAAGUUUAAAGUUUGGAGUAAUCGGGAGUGAUGGAAGAAGGAGGAGGCAGCAGUGAAUCACUUAUAAAUAACUUUGAAGCAGGACCCGGAGCCUAAAUUCCAGGAGGAUAAUGGUCAUCCACAGCCAAGAAGGAAAGACCUGAGACAUGGAAUCAGCGAUUGCAGCCCUUCAAUGUGAGUCAGCAGGCCCCAAGAAAGGAGAAUGCCUGCCACCUGGCCUUUAUUUGUCUGCAGCCACUCCAGCCGCUCCCUGUGGUUUGAGAAUCAAGCUGGCUGGUUCUGAGACUUGCCAGGUCUUGCUUCUUUUGAUGGAGUGCUU
rnacentral:lncRNA from 1 species